rnacentral:rRNA from 1 species
AGUGAUCGCUGGCGGUAGGCCUAACACAUGCAAGUCGAACGGCAGCACAGGAGAGCUUGCUCUCUGGGUGGCGAGUGGCGGACGGGUGAGGAAUACAUCGGAAUCUACUUUUUCGUGGGGGAUAACGCAGGGAAACUUACGCUAAUACCGCAUACGACCUACGGGUGAAAGCAGGGGACCUUCGGGCCUUGCGCGAUUGAAUGAGCCGAUGUCGGAUUAGCUAGUUGGCGGGGUAAAGGCCCACCAAGGCGACGAUCCGUAGCUGGUCUGCGAGGAUGAUCAGCCACACUGGAACUGAGACACGGUCCAGACUCCUACGGGAGGCAGCAGUGGGGAAUAUUGGACAAUGGGCGCAAGCCUGAUCCAGCCAUACCGCGUGGGUGAAGAAGGCCUUCGGGUUGUAAAGCCCUUUUGUUGGGAAAGAAAUCCAGCUGGCUAAUACCCGGUUGGGAUGACGGUACCCAAAGAAUAAGCACCGGCUAACUUCGUGCCAGCCGCCGCCGUAA